CAGUCGCCGCGGUAAUACCGAGGGUGCGAGCGUUAAUCGGAUUUACUGGGCGUAAAGCGUGCGUAGGCGGCUUUUUAAGUCGGAUGUGAAAUCCCUGAGCUUAACUUAGGAAUUGCAUUCGAUACUGGGAAGCUAGAGUAUGGGAGAGGAUGGUAGAAUUCCAGGUGUAGCGGUGAAAUGCGUAGAGAUCUGGAGGAAUACCGAUGGCGAAGGCAGCCAUCUGGCCUAAUACUGACGCUGAGGUACGAAAGCAUGGGGAGCAAACAGGAUUAGAUACCCCUGUAGUCCCUGUCUCUUAUAU
rnacentral:rRNA from 1 species